rnacentral:lncRNA from 1 species
UGGCAGACCCAGGUCCUGGAGGAGGAGGCCGCGGCUGCCCUGCGAGAUGUCUCUGAUCCUGAGCCUUCCAGCCUGGAUGAUGUUUUCCAGGAAGGGAACCCAAUCCACAAGAUUGAAGACUGGCUGCAGGAGUGCGGAUACUCUGAAGAAGGGUUUUUUGAGGAAAGUGGACAGUCGAGCUACAAUGGGUGCCUCAGCCAUGGAACCAGCUUUGAAGAUGACUUGACCUUAGGAGCAGAGGCCACACUGUUGGCCACCAAUGGCAAAGUCUUCUCCAGGUAAGUGUUAGGUCCCCAGACGAAAUGGUGUCUUCUUUAGGAGCUAGUGAACUGCUGGAGGUGUCAGAGCAAAGAGAUGAAAAUGACCAGCUCAAGGGUCACAGGAGAGAGUGAGAUUUUCCAACUAGGAAUGAGCCCCUAGACUGGGUUUUCCCAGUAGACGGUAGACGGUACCCAGCAGGGAGUCAAUAUGCCCAGCAGAACGUGUCUUAGACCCAGGGUGCGGACUGCUUACAAGCUUAGUAGACAUCUUCUCCGAUCCCUGCAGGAGUUUCCUGGACACAGCCCGGCCUUGCCAGCUCCUCGAUCUCGGCU